GUUCUUUAUAUACGCCAACUGGAGUAAGCUCUCUCUGGGUGAGAGACAACUCAAGAAUCUGAUCGGCCAGCAAUAACGAGUCUGGGGCUCUGUCCUCACGGGAAACCUUCUUUUGGUCGAAGACCUAACUAAGCCGUGGGUCCUCUCUCAAAAAGGCAAUGUGGUAACUCAAAAGACGGGUGACGUGGCACUCUAGGGGUAAGAUUUCUCUCCCUUCUCUCUCCUCUAGUUAUGGAUGAGAGUAGGUGAGUUAGGGCUUCUUGGUGGGUAGAGUUUAGUUUAUUCUAAGGU
rnacentral:lncRNA from 1 species